ACCGAUGAGUACAGCUUGGGAGACAGAGCACCGGGUGCUAACGUCCGGACUCAAGAGGGAAACAACCCAGACCGCCAGCUAAGGUCCCUAAAAUUGGCUAAGUGGGAAACGAAGUGGGAAGGCUAAAACAGUCAGGAUGUUGGCUUAGAAGCAGCCAUCAUUUAAAGAAAGCGUAAUAGCUCACUGAUCGAGUCGUCCUGCGCGGAAGAUGUAACGGGGCUAAGCCAGUUACCGAAGCUGCGGAUUUGCAAUUUAUUGCAAGUGGUAGGAGAGCGUUCUGUAAGCCUGUGAAGGUGCGUUGUAAAGCGUGCUGGAGGUAUCAGAAGUGCGAAUGCUGACAUGAGUAGCGUUAAAGGGGGUGAAAAGCCCCCUCGCCGUAAGCGCAAGGUUUUCUACGCAACGUUCAUCGGCGUAGAGUGAGUCGGCCCCUAAGGCGAGGCAGAGAUGCGUAGCUGAUGGGAAACAGGUCAAUAUUCCUGUACCGAUGUGUAGUGCGAUGUGGGGACGGAUCUUAAUAGGUCAUCCGGGUGUUGGAUAUCCCGGUUUAGUUGGAAGUAGGCGUGCAUUAGGCAAAUCCGGUGCACAUAUACCGAGGCCAACGAUCGAGCCAGCUUGCUGGUGAAGUGACUGAACGAGGUUCCAGGAAAAGCCACUAAGCUUCAGCUACACACGACCGUACCGCAAACCGACACUGGUGCGCGAGAUGAGUAUUCUAAGGCGCUUGAGAGAACUCAGGAGAAGGAACUCGGCAAAUUGACACCGUAACUUCGGAAGAAGGUGUGCCCUAUUAGUGUGAAGUGAACAACGGAGCAUGAAUGGGUUGCAAAAAAUCGGUGGCUGCGACUGUUUAUUAAAAACACAGC
rnacentral:rRNA from 1 species